UACGGGGGGGGCAAGCGUUGUUCGGAAUUACUGGGCGUAAAGGGCGCGUAGGCGGCCUGCUAAGUCGAACGUGAAAUCCCCGGGCUCAACCCGGGAACUGCGUCCGAUACUGGUGGGCUUGAAUCCGGGAGAGGGAUGCGGAAUUCCAGGUGUAGCGGUGAAAUGCGUAGAUAUCUGGAGGAACACCGGUGGCGAAGGCGGCAUCCUGGACCGGUAUUGACGCUGAGGCGCGAAAGCCAGGGGAGCAAACGGG
rnacentral:rRNA from 1 species